GGUUAAGCGACUAAGCGUACACGGUGGAUGCCCUGGCAUUCAGAGGCGAUGAAGGACGUGCUAAUCUGCGAUAAGCGUCGGUAAGGUGAUAUGAACCGUUAUAACCGGCGAUUUCCGAAUGGGGAAACCCAGUGUGAUUCGUCACACUAUCAUUAACUGAAUCCAUAGGUUAAUGAGGCGAACCGGGGGAACUGAAACAUCUAAGUACCCCGAGGAAAAGAAAUCAACCGAGAUUCCCCCAGUAGCGGCGAGCGAACGGGGAGCAGCCCAGAGCCUGAAUCAGUGUGUGUGUUAGUGGAAGCGUCUGGAAAGGCGUGCGAUACAGGGUGACAGCCCCGUACACAAAAAUGCACAUAUUGUGAGCUCGAUGAGUAGGGCGGGACACGUGGUAUCCUGUCUGAAUAUGGGGGGACCAUCCUCCAAGGCUAAAUACUCCUGACUGACCGAUAGUGAACCAGUACCGUGAGGGAAAGGCGAAAAGAACCCCGGCGAGGGGAGUGAAAAAGAACCUGAAACCGUGUACGUACAAGCAGUGGGAGCACGCUUAGGCGUGUGACUGCGUACCUUUUGUAUAAUGGGUCAGCGACUUAUAUUCUGUAGCAAGGUUAACCGAAUAGGGGAGCCGAAGGGAAACCGAGUCUUAACUGGGCGUUAAGUUGCAGGGUAUAGACCCGAAACCCGGUGAUCUAGCCAUGGGCAGGUUGAAGGUUGGGUAACACUAACUGGAGGACCGAACCGACUAAUGUUGAAAAAUUAGCGGAUGACUUGUGGCUGGGGGUGAAAGGCCAAUCAAACCGGGAGAUAGCUGGUUCUCCCCGAAAGCUAUUUAGGUAGCGCCUCGUGAAUUCAUCUCCGGGGGUAGAGCACUGUUUCGGCAAGGGGGUCAUCCCGACUUACCAACCCGAUGCAAACUGCGAAUACCGGAGAAUGUUAUCACGGGAGACACACGGCGGGUGCUAACGUCCGUCGUGAAGAGGGAAACAACCCAGACCGCCAGCUAAGGUCCCAAAGUCAUGGUUAAGUGGGAAACGAUGUGGGAAGGCCCAGACAGCCAGGAUGUUGGCUUAGAAGCAGCCAUCAUUUAAAGAAAGCGUAAUAGCUCACUGGUCGAGUCGGCCUGCGCGGAAGAUGUAACGGGGCUAAACCAUGCACCGAAGCUGCGGCAGCGACGCUUAUGCGUUGUUGGGUAGGGGAGCGUUCUGUAAGCCUGCGAAGGUGUGCUGUGAGGCAUGCUGGAGGUAUCAGAAGUGCGAAUGCUGACAUAAGUAACGAUAAAGCGGGUGAAAAGCCCGCUCGCCGGAAGACCAAGGGUUCCUGUCCAACGUUAAUCGGGGCAGGGUGAGUCGACCCCUAAGGCGAGGCCGAAAGGCGUAGUCGAUGGGAAACAGGUUAAUAUUCCUGUACUUGGUGUUACUGCGAAGGGGGGACGGAGAAGGCUAUGUUGGCCGGGCGACGGUUGUCCCGGUUUAAGCGUGUAGGCUGGUUUUCCAGGCAAAUCCGGAAAACUAAGGCUGAGGCGUGAUGACGAGGCACUACGGUGCUGAAGCAACAAAUGCCCUGCUUCCAGGAAAAGCCUCUAAGCAUCAGGUAACAUCAAAUCGUACCCCAAACCGACACAGGUGGUCAGGUAGAGAAUACCAAGGCGCUUGAGAGAACUCGGGUGAAGGAACUAGGCAAAAUGGUGCCGUAACUUCGGGAGAAGGCACGCUGAUAUGUAGGUGAAGUCCCUCGCGGAUGGAGCUGAAAUCAGUCGAAGAUACCAGCUGGCUGCAACUGUUUAUUAAAAACACAGCACUGUGCAAACACGAAAGUGGACGUAUACGGUGUGACGCCUGCCCGGUGCCGGAAGGUUAAUUGAUGGGGUCAGCGCAAGCGAAGCUCUUGAUCGAAGCCCCGGUAAACGGCGGCCGUAACUAUAACGGUCCUAAGGUAGCGAAAUUCCUUGUCGGGUAAGUUCCGACCUGCACGAAUGGCGUAAUGAUGGCCAGGCUGUCUCCACCCGAGACUCAGUGAAAUUGAACUCGCUGUGAAGAUGCAGUGUACCCGCGGCAAGACGGAAAGACCCCGUGAACCUUUACUAUAGCUUGACACUGAACAUUGAGCCUUGAUGUGUAGGAUAGGUGGGAGGCUUGGAAGUGUGGACGCCAGUCUGCAUGGAGCCGACCUUGAAAUACCACCCUUUAAUGUUUGAUGUUCUAACGUUGACCCGUAAUCCGGGUUGCGGACAGUGUCUGGUGGGUAGUUUGACUGGGGCGGUCUCCUCCUAAAGAGUAACGGAGGAGCACGAAGGUUGGCUAAUCCUGGUCGGACAUCAGGAGGUUAGUGCAAUGGCAUAAGCCAGCUUGACUGCGAGCGUGACGGCGCGAGCAGGUGCGAAAGCAGGUCAUAGUGAUCCGGUGGUUCUGAAUGGAAGGGCCAUCGCUCAACGGAUAAAAGGUACUCCGGGGAUAACAGGCUGAUACCGCCCAAGAGUUCAUAUCGACGGCGGUGUUUGGCACCUCGAUGUCGGCUCAUCACAUCCUGGGGCUGAAGUAGGUCCCAAGGGUAUGGCUGUUCGCCAUUUAAAGUGGUACGCGAGCUGGGUUUAGAACGUCGUGAGACAGUUCGGUCCCUAUCUGCCGUGGGCGCUGGAGAACUGAGGGGGGCUGCUCCUAGUACGAGAGGACCGGAGUGGACGCAUCACUGGUGUUCGGGUUGUCAUGCCAAUGGCACUGCCCGGUAGCUAAAUGCGGAAGAGAUAAGUGCUGAAAGCAUCUAAGCACGAAACUUGCCCCGAGAUGAGUUCUCCCUGACUCCUUGAGAGUCCUGAAGGAACGUUGAAGACGACGACGUUGAUAGGCCGGGUGUGUAAGCGCAGCGAUGCGUUGAGCUAACCGGUACUAAUGAACCGUGAGGCUUAACCUUA
rnacentral:rRNA from 1 species